rnacentral:rRNA from 1 species
UACUCCUACGGGAGGCAGCAGUGGGGAAUCUUGCGCAAUGGGCGAAAGCCUGACGCAGCGACGCCGCGUGAGUGAUGAAGGCCUUCGGGUUGUAAAGCUCUGUGGGGAGAGACGAAUAAGGUCCACCUAACACGUGGACCGAUGACGGUAUCUCCUUAGCAAGCACCGGCUAACUCUGUGCCAGCAGCCGCGGU